AACAAUGGCAUCUUACCCCAAUGACUCCAGCAAAAGAGAACACUAUCACUCACUUGACAAGCUAAAAUGAAAUCGUCCAAAGAUUUAUUCAUUGUCAAAGAUGAUAUAAACAAAACAAAACAAACAAUUUAUCAGGGCAAUUCUAAAUGGUGUUGGUGGAUGAGAGAGAUCCAACCCCAAACCCAAAAUAGUAGGGUCUAUAUAGCUUGACACUUUCUCCACUUUUAUUCAACAUCUGCAUGAGACCCCAGAUAUUCAUUUAUCAGUAUGGAGACAGGUAAUGAGGGAACUCAAGUCUCGAAAAGGCAAUUAAGAACUGUACAUAGUCUGCUUUCUGUACAAAGAAAAAUAUUUUACAAAUUGA